rnacentral:rRNA from 1 species
UAACACAUGCAAGUCGAGCGGCAGCANGAAAGUAGCUUGCUACUUUUGCCGUAGAGCGGCGGACGGGUGAGUAAUGCCUGGGAAAUUGCCCAGUCGAGGGGGAUAACAGUUGGAAACGACUGCUAAUACCGCAUACGCCCUACGGGGGAAAGCAGGGGACCUUCGGGCCUUGCGCGAUUGGAUAUGCCCAGGUGGGAUUAGCUAGUUGGUGAGGUAAUGGCUCACCAAGGCGACGAUCCCUAGCUGGUCUGAGAGGAUGAUCAGCCACACUGGAACUGAGACACGGUCCAGACUCCUACGGGAGGCAGCAGUGGGGAAUAUUGCACAAUGGGGGAAACCCUGAUGCAGCCAUGCCGCGUGUGUGAAGAAGGCCUUCGGGUUGUAAAGCACUUUCAGCGAGGAGGAAAGGUCAGUAGCUAAUAUCUGCUGGCUGUGACGUUACUCGCAGAAGAAGCACCGGCUAACUCCGUGCCAGCAGC